rnacentral:rRNA from 1 species
CACGUAGUUAGCCGGGGCUUCUUAGUCAGGUACCGUCAUUUUCUUCCCUGCUGAUAGAAGUUUACAUACCGAAAUACUUCUUCCUUCACGCGGCGUCGCUGCAUCAGGGUUUCCCCCAUUGUGCAAUAUUCCCCACUGCUGCUUCCCGUAGGAGUUUGGGCCGUGUCUCAGUCCCAAUGUGGCCGUUCACCCUCUCAGGCCGGCUACUGAUCGUCGCCUUGGUGAGCCCUUACCUCACCAACCAGCUAAUCAGACGCGGGUCCAUCUCAUACCACCGGAGUUUUUCACACCGUCCCAUGCGAGACCGUGCGCUUAUGCGGUAUUAGCAGUCAUUUCUAACUGUUAUCCCCCUGUACUGAGGCAGGUUACCCACGCGUUACUCACCCGUCCGCCACUCAGUCAAAUAAGACUUCAAACCGAAGUAAUCCGUACUUAAGUGCUUCGUUCGACUUGCAUGUGUUAAGCACGCCGCCAGCGUUCAUCCUGAGCCAGGACUCAAACUCU